rnacentral:rRNA from 1 species
AGCCUGAACGCUGGCGGCGUGGUUAAGACAUGCAAGUCGCACGGAUGUAGCAAUACAUCAGUGGCGCACGGGUGAGUAAUGUAUCGCUAAUGUACCCCGGACUCUGGGAUAGCUGCCCGAAAGGGCAGGUAAUACCAGAUGAUAUGACCGAUAGGCAUCUAUUCGGUUACUCGAAAGGUCCGCCGGUCGUGGGGAGCGAGGCGAUAUCGUAUCGUAGGUAGGUUGGUGGAACGGGUAACGGUUACACCAAGCCGACGACCGCGUAGCUGGUCUGAGACGGACGGCCAG